rnacentral:rRNA from 1 species
AUUGAACGCUGGCGGCAGGCUUAACACAUGCAAGUCGAGCGGAGUUAUAGUGCUUGCACUAUAACUUAGCGGCGGACGGGUGAGUAAUGCUUAGGAAUCUGCCUAUUAAUGGGGGACAACAUUUCGAAAGGUAUGCUAAUACCGCAUACGACCUACGGGGCAAAGCAGGGGAUCUUCGGACCUUGCGUUACUAGAUGAGCCAAUGUCGGAUUAGCCGGUUGGUGGGGUAAAGGCCUACAAAGGCGACGACCUGUAGGGGGUCUUAGAGGAUGCUACGCCACGCUGGGACCGAGACACGGCCCAGACUCCUACGGGAGGCAGCAGUGGGGAAUAUUGGACAAUGGGGGGAACCCUGAUCCAGCCAUGCCGCGUGUGUGAAGAAGGCCUUAUGGUUGUAAAGCACUUUAAGCGAGGAGGAGGCUACUUUAGUUAAUACCUAGAGAUAGUGGACGUUACUCGCAGAAUAAGCACCGGCUAACUCUGUGCCAGCCGCCGCAGUAAUAC